UGAGGAAUAUUGGACAAUGGAUGGAAAUCUGAUCCAGCCAUGCCGCGUGCAGGAAGAAUGUCCUAUGGAUUGUAAACUGCUUUUGUAUGGGAGCAAUAAGGUCUUCGUGAAGGCCGAUGAGAGUACCAUACGAAUAAGCACCGGCUAACUCCGUGCCAGCAGCCGCGGUAAUACGGAGGGUGCAAGCGUUAUCCGGAUUUAUUGGGUUUAAAGGGUGCAUAGGCGGUUAUAUAAGUCAGCGGUGAAAUUUUUCGGCUCAACCGGAAACAUGCCGUUGAUACUGUAUAGCUUGAAUAUGGUUGCUGUGAGUGGAAUGUGUAGUGUAGCGGUGAAAUGCUUAGAUAUUACACAGAAUAUCGAUUGCGAAGGCAACUCACAAAGCCAUUAUUGACGCUGAUGCACGAAAGCGUGGGGAGCGAACA
rnacentral:rRNA from 1 species